rnacentral:rRNA from 1 species
UGCAAGUCGAACGAGACCUUCGGGUCUAGUGGCGCACGGGUGCGUAACGCGUGGGAAUCUGCCCUCUGGUACGGAAUAACUCAGGGAAACUUGAGCUAAUACCGUAUAAUGACUUCGGUCCAAAGAUUUAUCGCCUGAGGAUGAGCCCGCGUAGGAUUAGCUUGUUGGUGAGGUAAAAGCUCACCAAGGCGACGAUCCUUAGCUGGUCUGAGAGGAUGAUCAGCCACACUGGGACUGAGACACGGCCCAGACUCCUACGGGAGGCAGCAGUGGGGAAUAUUGGACAAUGGGCGAAAGCCUGAUCCAGCAAUGCCGCGUGAGUGAUGAAGGCCUUAGGGUUGUAAAGCUCUUUUACCCGGGAAGAUAAUGACUGUACCGGGAGAAUAAGCCCCGGCUAACUCCGUGCCAGCAGCCGCGGUAAUACGGAGGGGGCUAGCGUUGUUCGGAAUUACUGGGCGUAAAGCGCACGUAGGCGGCUUUGUAAGUUAGAGGUGAAAGCCCGGGGCUCAACUCCGGAAUUGCCUUUAAGACUGCAUCGCUAGAAUUGUGGAGAGGUGAGUGGAAUUCCGAGUGUA